GAACCUGCGGAAGGAUCAUUACCAAUAUGAAAGCGGGUGGGGAACCACGGGAACAUGGGCUCCGGCUCGCGUUUCUGCCCCAUCUUGCUGAAUAUUCACCCAUGUCUUUUGCGUACUAUUUGUUUCCUUGGUGGGCUUGCCCACCGAUAGGACAAUAUUCAACCUUUUGUAAUUGCAAUCAGCGUCAGAAAAACUUUAAUAGUUACAACUUUCAACAACGGAUCUCUUGGUUCUGGCAUCGAUGAAGAACGCAGCGAAAUGCGAUAAGUAGUGUGAAUUGCAGAAUUCAGUGAAUCAUCGAAUCUUUGAACGCACAUUGCGCCCCUUGGUAUUCCAUGGGGCAUGCCUGUUCGAGCGUCAUUUGUACCCUCAAGCUUUGCUUGGUGUUGGGCGUCUUGUCCUCUUCUGGAGGACUCGCCUCAAAACAAUUGGCAGCCGGCAUAUUGGUAUCGGAGCGCAGCACAAGUCGCACUUCUUUCCAUGAAUGUUGGCAUCCAUCAAGACCAUUUUUUCACUCUUGACCUCGGAUCAGGUAGGGAUACCCGCUGAACUUAAGCAUAUCA
rnacentral:rRNA from 1 species